rnacentral:rRNA from 1 species
GACGAACGCUGGCGGCGUGCUUAACACAUGCAAGUCGAACGGUGAACCAGAGCUUGCUCUGGGGAUCGGUGGCGAACGGGUGAGUAACACGUGGGCAACCUGCCCCAGACUCUGGGAUAACCUCGGGAAACCGAUGCUAAUACCGGAUACGACCACUUCGGACAUCCGACGGUGGUGGAAAGUUUUUCGGUCUGGGAUGGGCCCGCGGCCUAUCAGCUAGUUGGUGGGGUAAUGGCCUACCAAGGCGACGACGGGUAGUCGGCCUGAGAGGGCGACCGGCCACACUGGAACUGAGACACGGUCCAGACUCCUACGGGAGGCAGCAGUGGGGAAUAUUGCACAAUGGGCGAAAGCCUGAUGCAGCGACGCCGCGUGAGGGACGACGGCCUCGGUUGUAACCGUACUUUCAGCAGGACGAAGCGAAAGUAGACUGUACCUGCAGAAGAAGCACCGGCUAAC